CAGAGUUCUCGCCCUCGCGGGUAGAUCUCCCACCCACUGUUAUUGCUACUGUGUUGCUUUGGCGGGCUGCUAGGCCCAGCCUGGCCGCCGGCUCCGGCUGGCGCGCGCCCGCCAGAGGACCCCAAACUCUGAAUGUUAGUGUCGUCUGAGUACUAUACAAUAGUUA
rnacentral:misc_RNA from 1 species